GUGCUCACUUCAGCAGCACAUAUACUCAAAUUGGAACAAUACAUAGAAAAUUAGCAUGGCCCUUGCACAAGGAUGAUGGGCAAAUUCAUAAAGCAGUCCAUAUUUUU
ensembl:snRNA U6 U6 spliceosomal RNA